rnacentral:rRNA from 1 species
CACGUAGGGCGCAAGCGUUGUCCGGAAUUAUUGGGCGUAAAGAGCUCGUAGGUGGUUUGUUACGUCUGCUGUGAAAACCUAGGGCUUAACCCUGGGCUUGCAGUGGAUACGGGCAGACUAGAGGUAGGUAGGGGAGAAUGGAAUUCCUGGUGUAGCGGUGAAAUGCGCAGAUAUCAGGAAGAACACCCGUGGCUAAGGCGGCUCUCUAGUACGGUACUGACGCUGAGACGCGAAAGCGUGGGGAGCGAACAGG